AUUGAACGCUGGCGGCAUGCUUUACACAUGCAAGUCGAACGGUAACAGGGUGCUUGCACCGCUGACGAGUGGCGAACGGGUGAGUAAUGCGUCGGAACGUGCCGAGUAGUGGGGGAUAACGCAGCGAAAGUUGUGCUAAUACCGCAUACGUACUGAGGUAGAAAGUGGGGGACCUUCGGGCCUCACGCUAUUCGAGCGGCCGACGUCUGAUUAGCUAGUAGGUGAGGUAAAGGCUCACCUAGGCGACGAUCAGUAGCGGGUCUGAGAGGAUGAGCCGCCACAGUGGGACUGAGACACGGCCCAGACUCCUACGGUAGGCAGCAGUGGGGAAUUUUGGACAAUGGGCGAAAGCCUGAUCCAGCCAUGCCGCGUGUCUGAAGAAGGCCUUCGGGUUGUAAAGGACUUUUGUCGGGGAGGAAAUCCCCAGCGUUAAUACCGCUGGGGGAUGACAGUACCUGAAGAAUAAGCACCGGCUAACUACGUGCCAGCCGCCGCUGUAAAAC
rnacentral:rRNA from 1 species